GAUCUGAAAGGGACUUCAAGGAAAGAGUUGAAUCAAAUACAGUUGAGUUAGAAGUAAAAGACAGAAGUGGAGGUAAUAUAGACCUAUACUAUUCUCUUGAGUCUGAAACAGAGCAGUUUGAAGAUGCGCUCUGAUUGAUGGGUUCCUGAACUCCUGUACAUACUAAAUAAGUUUACACAAAAAUAACAAUGUUUUUAUUCAAAAAUAGAUCACGUAUCUAACAUUCGUCCACCUUUUAAGAGAUGUUUGUUCAAGUGAUGCCAGAUAUAAAAGGUAAAAGUAAAACUCUCUGUUCAAACGACA